rnacentral:rRNA from 1 species
AGAUACCCUAUUAUAAAAAUUUAAAUUAAUUUACUAAAAAAUUAAUAGUUAUGUUCUUUAAAUUUAAAAAAUUUGGCGGUAUUUUAGUCUUAUUAGAGGAAUCUGUUUAUUAAUUGAUAAUCCACGAUUAAUUUUACUUAUUUUAAUUAAUUCAUAUAUCGCUGUCAUGAAUAUAUUUAAAAAUUUAUUUUCUUUAAUUAUUUUAAUAAUUUAUGUUAAGUCAAGAUGUGGUUUAUAAAUAAGAAUAUAAUGGGUUACAUUAAAUUUUAUUUUUGGAUUUAAAAUGAAAAUUAAAAUGAAAUUGGAUUUAAUAGUAAGUUUAAUUAAUUUAUUAAUAUGAAUAAAGAUCUAAAUUAU